rnacentral:rRNA from 1 species
GACGAACGCUGGCGGCGUGCCUAAUACAUGCAAGUAGAACGCUGAAGGAGGAGCUUGCUUCUCCGGAUGAGUUGCGAACGGGUGAGUAACGCGUAGGUAACCUGCCUGGUAGCGGGGGAUAACUAUUGGAAACGAUAGCUAAUACCGCAUAAUAGCAGUUAUUGCAUGAUAACUGUUUGAAAGGUGCAAUUGCACCACUACCAGAUGGACCUGCGUUGUAUUAGCUAGUUGGUGGGGUAACGGCUCACCAAGGCGACGAUACAUAGCCGACCUGAGAGGGUGAUCGGCCACACUGGGACUGAGACACGGCCCAGACUCCUACGGGAGGCAGCAGUAGGGAAUCUUCGGCAAUGGACGGAAGUCUGACCGAGCAACGCCGCGUGAGUGAAGAAGGUUUUCGGAUCGUAAAGCUCUGUUGUAAGAGAAGAACGA